UUCAUGGAGAGUUUGAUCCUGGCUCAGAACAAACGCUGGCGGCGCGCUUAACACAUGCAAGUCGAACGAUUCCGAUAAAGCCGUAAGGUGAUAUCGGGAUAGUGGCAAACGGGUGAGUAACACGUGGAUAACCUGCCCUCGAGCGGGGGAUAACUCUGCGAAAGUGGAGCUAAUACCGCGUAAGACUACAGAAUCGCAUGAUUCAGUAGUAAAAGGUUCCCCGAUUUUCGGGGAAUCGCUCGGGGAUGAGUCCGCGGCUGAUUAGCUAGUUGGUAGGGUAACAGCCUACCAAGGCAACGAUCAGUAGCCGGCCUGAAAGGGUGUUCGGCCACACUGGAAUUGAGAUACGGUCCAGACUCCUACGGGAGGCAGCAGUGGGGAAUCUUGCGCAAUGGGGGAAACCCUGACGCAGUGACGCCGCGUGAACGAUGAAGUCCUUCGGGAUGUAAAGUUCUGUCAGGCGGGAAGAACCUCCCCCCGAUGUAAAUCGGGGGGAAA
rnacentral:rRNA from 1 species